CACACCUUGGCCGUUAAGCUCGUCUCCCCUCUUUUCUAUAGCCUCAAGCCCAGAGCCAUGAAAGCUCUCUUUCUCUCUCUUCCUCUCAAACCCUAACACAAAACCGUUGCUCUCUAGCCAUUCCAAAAUCUUCCAAUGGUCCUAGAUUUGUCAAACUCAAAAACAAAUACCCAGUCGUGCCUCCAUAGCUGGAUUUCUGUCAUUUAUUCCCAAAUCUCCAUGUCUCUACAAAUCGAAGCUCCAAUCCGUCGAAUCAAAGUCAUAGUGCACAACAAGGUUCAACCAAGAAGUGAUGCAAAAGCCCAAAAAUCCGUGCAUAAGGUCAAUCUACGUAUUGGCUUGAUGAAUGUGCUCCCUAUUGUGUUGCUUGGAUCCCACCCCAAAACUUCAAUGUAAUUAUAUUUUGAAUGAAGUGCGAGAAAGUGAAAGAGUGAAGGGGAUCCAUUAGCAUAGAGGUCUUCUCAGCAUCCCCACUGCGAGUAUCCCUGUACCUCAUCCGUGCUCCUUCUGUAUCUUGUGCUUGCAUUUGUGUUGAAUUUGACUCCCAUGAAUAUUCUUAAUUUCUUAUGAAUGUGGUGAUGAAUUUUGUUGUGAUGAAUGGAUGGUUGAAUGCAUACUGAGAUGAAUGGAUCGAAUGAGUUCCGAAUACAGCCUGCAAUCACAAAUCAAAAACCUAAUUAGAUAAGUAAAGAAAAAUAACAAGAAUUAAAUUUUUUUUUCAAUUUUCUGAUAUUUAUUUAUUUUUUUGUAAUUCUUGUAAUUAAGAAUAAAAACAGGAAAAUAAAAUAAAUGAAAUAAAAAGAAAAGAGUUAGAAAAAUUGGGUUGCCUCCCAAUUAGCGCUUUAGUUAGCGUCUAUAACUAGACGUAGAGGAAAGAAUUGAAGAUCACGUCACUUGUUCCCUUAGAGUUAACCACUUCCUGAUAGCAUCAUACAACAACAGUAGGUAUGGAAUGAGUUGUUGUUUAUCAGUGGUUGAAUUCUUCAUAAUUGACCUUCUAUGUCAAUGAAUCUUUGUGAUCAAAUAAGGUUGUUUCCAAUGAGGUUUAUGUUUCCUUCGAGCUGCCUUGAACCUUGUAUUUAACACUCACAACCUCUGCACUGGCAGAAUUUCUCUACGAGGAAUUUGGCUGUCACGGAAUUGAUCUUGAUUUUCUUUAAAUUUGAUGAAUUGUGAUGUUUGCGUGUCCAAUUCAACAACCCAAAUUUUCUGAUCAGUAGCCGGUUACUCCGAAUCCAAAAUGGUCAUAGUAGUCAAAAGCUGAUCAUGUGAUGUCUGAUAUACUGAUUUUGAAUGAACCGCUUCUAACAUAUCAAUUCUUGUGCAUUCGUGCAACCCUGUUGGGAAGGCUUCCGGUGGCACAUAAACUUGGGGAGGAGAAGAUUGUGCAGAAAUUGUUUCACGAUCAGCAGGUGGUGUUUCCUCCCUUGGGCAUGACUGGCUGGUAGAUUUCUCUUCCGUUUCUGCACCAAUUUCUUCUUGAUCAUCAUAGCGUUUCCCAUAGUUUAUUAAUGGUUGAAUCUGAAAUUCUUGAUUAGUUCUUUCAAUAUACAACUCAAUUGAUUCCAACAAUUUAAAGAGUUUGUCUUCCACCGAAAGCUUUUGUGGCGCAUUAAAUUUCUCGAAAUACUGCUCAAGAUGUUUUUUCAAACUUGGAGUGUAGAACUCUGAAUGGGGAUUGUUCCAA